rnacentral:rRNA from 1 species
GACGAACGCUGGCGGCGUGCUUAACACAUGCAAGUCGAACGGAAAGGCCCUGCUUUUGUGGGGUGCUCGAGUGGCGAACGGGUGAGUAACACGUGAGUAACCUGCCCUUGACUUUGGGAUAACUUCAGGAAACUGGGGCUAAUACCGGAUAGGAGCUCCUGCUGCAUGGUGGGGGUUGGAAAGUUUCGGCGGUUGGGGAUGGACUCGCGGCUUAUCAGCUUGUUGGUGGGGUAGUGGCUUACCAAGGCUUUGACGGGUAGCCGGCCUGAGAGGGUGACCGGCCACAUUGGGACUGAGAUACGGCCCAGACGCCUACGGGAGGCAGCAGGGGGGAAUAUUGCAGAAUGGGCGGAAGCCUGAUGCAGAAACGCUGGGUGCGGGAUGACGGGCUUCGAGGUGUAAACCGCUUUCGCCUGUGACGAAGCGGGAGUGACGGUAAUGGGUAAAGAAGCACCGGCUAACUACGUG